rnacentral:rRNA from 1 species
GACGAACGCUGGCGGCGUGCUUAACACAUGCAAGUCGAACGGAAAGGCCCUGCUUUUGUGGGGUGCUCGAGUGGCGAACGGGUGAGUAACACGUGAGUAACCUGCCCUUGACUUUGGGAUAACUUCAGGAAACUGGGGCUAAUACCGGAUAGGAGCUCCUGCUGCAUGGUGGGGGUUGGAAAGUUUCGGCGGUUGGGGAUGGACUCGCGGCUUAUCAGCUUGUUGGUGGGGUAGUGGCUUACCAAGGCUUUGACGGGUAGCCGGCCUGAGAGGGUGACCGGCCACAUUGGGACUGAGAUACGGCCCAGACUCCUACGGGAGGCAGCAGUGGGGAAUAUUGCACAAUGGGCGGAAGCCUGAUGCAGCAACGCCGCGUGCGGGAUGACGGCCUUCGGGUUGUAAACCGCUUUCGCCUGUGACGAAGCGUGAGUGACGGUAAUGGGUAAAGAAGCACCGGCUAACUACGUGCCAGCAGCCGCGGUGAUACGUAGGGUGCGAGCGUUGUCCGGAUUUAUUGGGCGUAAAGGGCUCGUAGGUGGUUGAUCGCGUCGGAAGUGUAAUCUUGGGGCUUAACCCUGAGCGUGCUUUCGAUACGGGUUGACUUGAGGAAGGUAGGGGAGAAUGGAAUUCCUGGUGGAGCGGUGGAAUGCGCAGAUAUCAGGAGGAACACCAGUGGCGAAGGCGGUUCUCUGGGCCUUUCCUGACGCUGAGGAGCGAAAGCGUGGGGAGCGAACAGGCUUAGAUACCCCGGUAGUCCACGCUGUAAACGGUGGGUACUAGGUGUGGGGUCCAUUCCACGGGUUCCGUGCCGUAGCUAACGCUUUAAGUACCCCGCCUGGGGAGUACGGCCGCAAGGCUAAAACUCAAAGGAAUUGACGGGGCCCCGCACAAGCGGCGGAGCAUGCGGAUUAAUUCGAUGCAACGCGUAGAACCUUACCUGGGUUUGACAUGGAUCGGGAGUGCUCAGAGAUGGGUGUGCCUCUUUUGGGGUCGGUUCACAGGUGGUGCAUGGCUGUCGUCAGCUCGUGUCGUGAGAUGUUGGGUUAAGUCCCGCAACGAGCGCAACCCUUGUUCACUGUUGCCAGCACGUUAUGGUGGGGACUCAGUGGAGACCGCCGGGGUCAACUCGGAGGAAGGUGGGGAUGACGUCAAGUCAUCAUGCCCCUUAUGUCCAGGGCUUCACGCAUGCUACAAUGGCUGGUACAGAGAGUGGCGAGCCUGUGAGGGUGAGCGAAUCUCGGAAAGCCGGUCUCAGUUCGGAUUGGGGUCUGCAACUCGACCUCAUGAAGUCGGAGUCGCUAGUAAUCGCAGAUCAGCAACGCUGCGGUGAAUAAGUUCCCGGGGCU